UACGGAGGGUGCGAGCGUUGUCCGGAAUCAUUGGGCGUAAAGGGCGCGUAGGUGGCGCAGCAAGCGUGCGGUGAAAGCUCGGGGCUCAACCCCGAGUCGGCCGUGCGAACUGCUGGGCUCGAGCACUGUAGAGGCAGGCGGAAUUCCCGGUGUAGCGGUGAAAUGCGUAGAGAUCGGGAAGAACAUCGGUGGCGAAAGCGCUCUGCUGGACUGCAACUGACACUCAGGGACGAAAGGCUAGGGGAGCGAAUGGG
rnacentral:rRNA from 1 species